rnacentral:rRNA from 1 species
AGGACGAACGCUGGCGGCGUGCUUAACACAUGCAAGUCGAGCGGAAAGGCCCUUCGGGGUACUCGAGCGGCGAACGGGUGAGUAACACGUGGGCAACCUGCCCCUAGCUCUGGGAUAACUCCGGGAAACCGGUGCUAAUACCGGAUAUGACUUCCUCCGGCAUCUGAGGAAGUGGAAAGUUUUUCGGCUAGGGAUGGGCCCGCGGCCUAUCCAGCUU